ACUCCUACGGGAGGCAGCAGUGGGGAAUCUUGGACAAUGGGCGCAAGCCUGAUCCAGCCAUGCCGCGUGAGUGAUGAAGGCCUUAGGGUCGUAAAGCUCUUUCGCCAGGGAUGAUAAUGACAGUACCUGGUAAAGAAACCCCGCUACUCCGUGCCAGCAGCCGCGGUAAUACGGAGGGGUUAGCGUUGUUCGGAAUUACUGGGCGUAAAGCGCACGUAGGCGGAUUGGAAAGUUGGGGGUGAAAUCCCCAGGGCUCAACCCUGGAACUGCCUCCAAAACUACCAGUCUAGAGUUCGAGAGAGGUGAGUGGAAUUCCGAGUGUAGAGGUGAAAUUCGUAGAUAUUCGGAGGAACACCAGUGGCGAAGGCGGCUCACUGGCUCGAUACUGACGCUGAGGUGCGAAAGUGUGGGGAGCAAACAGGAUUAGAUACCCUGGUAGGAUAGCG
rnacentral:rRNA from 1 species